CCGGAGGAAGGUGGGGACGACGUCAAGUCAUCAUGGCCCUUACGGGAUGGGCUACACACGUGCUACAAUGGCAAGUACAGAGGGCAGCAAUACCGCGAGGUGGAGCGAAUCCCACAAAACUUGUCGUAGUCCGGAUUGGAGUCUGCAACUCGACUCCAUGAAGUCGGAAUCGCUAGUAAUCGUAGAUCAGAAUGCUACGGUGAAUACGUUCCCGGGCCUUGUACACACCGCCCGUCACACCAUGGGAGUGGGUUGCAAAAGAAGUGGCUAGUUUAACCUUCGGGAGGACGGUCACCACUUUGUGAUUCAUGACUGGGGUGAAGUCGUAACAAGGUAGCCGUA
rnacentral:rRNA from 1 species